rnacentral:rRNA from 1 species
GACGAACGCUGGCGGCGUGCUUAACACAUGCCAGUCGAACGGAAAGGCCCUGCUUUUGUGGGGUGCUCGAGUGGCGAACGGGUGAGUAACACGUGAGUAACCUGCCCUUGACUUUGGGAUAACUUCAGGAAACUGGGGCUAAUACCGGAUAGGAGCUCCUGCUGCAUGGUGGGGGUUGGAAAGUUUCGGCGGUUGGGGAUGGACUCGCGGCUUAUCAGCUUGUUGGUGGGGUAGUGGCUUACCAAGGCUUUGACGGGUAGCCGGCCUGAGAGGGUGACCGGCGACAUUGGGACUGAGAGACGGCCCAGACGCCUACGGGAGGCAGCAGUGGGGAAUAUUGCACAAUGGGCGGAAGCCUGAUGCAGCAACGCCGGGUGCGGGAUGACGGCCUUCGGGUUGUAAACCGCUUUCGCCUGUGACGAAGCGUGAGUGACGGUAAUGGGUAAAGAAGCACCGGCUAACUACGUG